CAGUCGCCACGGUAACACGUAGGGCGCAAGCGUUAUCCGGAAUUAUUGGGCGUAAAGAGCUCGUAGGCGGUUUGUCGCGUCUGCCGUGAAAGUCCGGGGCUCAACCCCGGAUCUGCGGUGGGUACGGGCAGACUAGAGUGAUGUAGGGGAGACUGGAAUUCCUGGUGUAGCGGUGAAAUGCGCAGAUAUCAGGAGGAACACCGAUGGCGAAGGCAGGUCUCUGGGCAUUAACUGACGCUGAGGAGCGAAAGCAUGGGGAGCGAACAGGAUUAGAUACCCCAGUAGUCCCUGUCUCUUAUAC
rnacentral:rRNA from 1 species